rnacentral:tRNA from 1 species
GCGUUCGUGGUUCAAGGGUAGAAUUGGUCGUUGCCAUCUGUACAUUCGACUAGAUCAGGGUUCGAGUCCCUGCGAACGCA